rnacentral:rRNA from 1 species
UCGUGUCGUGAGAUGUUGGGUUAAGUCCCGCAACGAGCGCAACCCUCACCUCUUGUUGCCACCAGGUCAUGCUGGGCACUCUAGAGGAGCUGCCCCGGUCAACGGGGAGGAAGGCGGGGAUGACGUCAAGUCAUCAUGCCCCUUACGUCCUGGGCUACACACGUGCUACAAUGGCCGGUACAAAGGGAUGCCACACCGCGAGGUAGAGCUAAACCCAAAAAGCCGGUCUAAGUUCAGAUUGGAGUCUGCAACUCGACUCUAUGAAGGAGGAAUCGCUAGUAAUCGC